GGCUCCUUCGGGAGUACACGAGCGGCGGACGGCUGAGUAACGCGUAGGAACCUACCCUAAAGUGAGGGAUAAGCACCAGAAAUGGUGUCUAAUACCGCAUAUGCUCUUUAAGAGUAAAGCUACGGCGCUUUGGGAAGGGCCUGCGUAUGAUUAGCUUGUUGGUGAGGUAAAAGCUCACCAAGGCGACGAUCAUUAGCUGGUCUGAGAGGAUGAUCAGCCAGACUGGGACUGAGAACGGCCCAGACUCCUACGGGAGGCAGCAGUAGGGAAUCUUCCACAAUGGGCGAAAGCCUGAUGGAGCAACGCCGCGUGCAGGAUGAAGGCCUUCGGG
rnacentral:rRNA from 1 species